rnacentral:rRNA from 1 species
AAUUGAAAGCUGGCGUCUUCGGCGUCCGCAUUGUAAUCUCAAGAAGUGUUUUCCGCUUCGGACCAAGCCUAAGUCCCCUGGAAAGGGGCAUCAUAGAGGGUGAUAAUCCCGUACAUGGCUUGGAGCGCCCGAGGCUUUGUGAUACGCUUUCUAAGAGUCGAGUUGUUUGGGAAUGCAGCUCAAAAUGGGUGGUAAAUGCCAUCUAAGGCUAAAUAUUGGGGAGAGACCGAUAGCGAACAAGUACAGUGAUGGAAAGAUGAAAAGAACUUUGAAAAGAGAGUUAAACAGUACGUGAAAUUGCCAAAAGGGAAGGGUAGGAGGUCAGAGAUGCGGCCUGGGAUUCAGCCUUGCUUUUGCUUGGUGUUUUUCCCAGAUUGCAGGCCAACGUCGGUUUUGGGCACUGGAGAAGGGUAGGAGGAACGUGGCACCCCUCGGGGUGUGUUAUAGCCUCCUACUGGAUACAGCGACCGAGACCGAGGACAGCAGCGUACUCGCAAGAGCGGGCCCUUCGGGCACCUUUACGCUUAGGGCGUUGGCAUAAUGGCCCUCUACCACCCGUUGAAA